GACGAACGCUGGCGGCGUGCUUAACACAUGCAAGUCGAACGGAAAGGCCCUGCUUGCAGGGUACUCGAGUGGCGAACGGGUGAGUAACACGUGGGUGAUCUGCCCUGCACUUCGGGAUAAGCCUGGUUAACUGGGUCUAAUACCGGAUAGGUGCCAUUUUUAGUGUGAUGGUUGGAAAGUAUUUUCGGUGUUGGAUGAGUACUCGGCCGAUUGGCUUGUUGGUGGGGUAAUGGCUUACUAAGGCGGCGUGGGGUAGCCGGCCUGAGAGGGUGGGCGGCCACCUUGGGACUGAGAUCCGGCCCAGACUCCUCCGGGACGCGGCAGUGGGGAAUCUUGCACAAUGGGCGCCAGCCUGAUGCAGCGACGCCGCGUGGGGGAUGACGGCCUUCGGGUUGGAAACUCCUUUCGCUAGGGACGAAGCUUUUUGUGACGGUACCUAGAUAAGAAGCACCGGCUAACUACGUG
rnacentral:rRNA from 1 species